AUUGAACGCUGGCGGCAGGCCUAACACAUGCAAGUCGAGCGGAUGCAGGGAGCUUGCUCCUGGAUUCAGCGGCGGACGGGUGAGUGAUGCCUAGGAAUCUGCCUGGUAGCGGGGGAUAACGUCCGGAAACGGGCGAUAAUACGGCAUCAGCGCUGAGGGCGAAAGUGGGGGAUCUUCGGACCUCACGCUAUCAGAUGAGUCUAGGUCGGAUUAGCGAGUUGGUGGGGUAAAGGCCUACCAAGGCGACGAUCCGUAGCUGGUCUGAGAGGAUGAUCAGUCACACUGGAACUGAGACACGGUCCAGACUCCUACGGGAGGCAGCAGUGGGGAAUAUUGGACAAUGGGCGAAAGCCUGAUCCAGCCAUGCCGCGUGUGUGAAGAAGGUCUUCGGAUUGUAAAGCACUUUAAGUUGGGAGGAAGGGCAGUAAGUUAAUACCUUGCUGUUUUGACGGUACCAACAGAAUAAGCACCGGCUAACUUCGUG
rnacentral:rRNA from 1 species